rnacentral:lncRNA from 1 species
UUGCUUGCAAAUAUACUAUAAGUUUUGUGGCUUUGACAAUGUCUGCAAAGGAUGAUCGGGAGAGUUUGAAGUAUUAAUUGCUGGGUUCUGAAGGUGAUAUCGGUUCCUAGGGUCAUGAGUAUGUUAGGAAUUUGGCCGGUGAAAUUGCACAAGAGUAUUCAAAAAGAGUGAAUGAGGAAGCAAACGUGGAUGAUCUAAUAGAACUUGUGGAACACGCUCCCCAUGAGUUGGUAAUAAUUGUGUUGAAUGAACCGGACAUCUUGACAACCGAGUAUGCAAUUAAGGGGAAGAUAAUUAGCCUAUGGAGGAUACCGGUGAACAACAAUAAAAAUCGAACCUAUUGUAUCGAGAUGAUAUU